ACAGUGUCUGGUGGGUAGUUUGACUGGGGCGGUCUCCUCCUAAAGAGUAACGGAGGAGCACGAAGGUUGGCUAAUCCUGGUCGGACAUCAGGAGGUUAGUGCAAUGGCAUAAGCCAGCUUGACUGCGAGCGUGACGGCGCGAGCAGGUGCGAAAGCAGGUCAUAGUGAUCCGGUGGUUCUGAAUGGAAGGGCCAUCGCUCAACGGAUAAAAGGUACUCCGGGGAUAACAGGCUGAUACCGCCCAAGAGUUCAUAUCGACGGCGGUGUUUGGCACCUCGAUGUCGGCUCAUCACAUCCUGGGGCUGAAGUAGGUCCCAAGGGUAUGGCUGUUCGCCAUUUAAAGUGGUACGCGAGCUGGGUUUAGAACGUCGUGAGACAGUUCGGUCCCUAUCUGCCGUGGGCGCUGGAGAACUGAGGGGGGCUGCUCCUAGUACGAGAGGACCGGAGUGGAC
rnacentral:rRNA from 1 species